CUGAGACACACAGCUGAAUUCUGACCUCAGAGUGAUUAGGAUCCACAGUGGCAGGGCCAGUUGGACAUUUCACAGGGACCAUGUGUCAUCACUAUUUUGCUCUGGGUUUUUUGGAAAAUCCAGAGCAAAUGGGUGUCUUGAUGUCUCAAUAAAGUCACAAGCAGUGCAUCCAGAAUCCCUUGUAAUCAUUACAGAGAGGAUGUUGGGAUGUUAAUCUCAGAAAAUAAGGAAAGAAGGAGGAAUUACCUGCCUUAUCUUGACAGGCCUAUCUUGACAGAGGAAAGUUUCCUUGAGGAAUAAAGAACUGGUCUUUCAGCCACCCUGGCUGGAGAGGAGAAGAUGGCAGCAGCUUCAGUCACAG